GCCCAUACUAAAAGAAACUCACCUCUUCUAAACUUCUAGGCUUUUGGUUCUAUGACAGCAUUGUACAGUCCAUAUAACAAGAGCUCAAGAUCUCUAAACCCGACUAUUAUCUAUCUAUCUAUCUAUUCUAUACUAUUAAACCGGAAUCUCUAAAAAAUUAUGCUUUUAGAUUUAGAGAUAUUUACAAUGUUAUGCUAUUACCGUUUAAUUAAAUAAAAAUUGAAUAUUUCCUAUAUAUUGUAUGUAGUAAAUAAUACUUUCCAUUUUUUAUAAUAAUAAUUCAAGAAAAAGCCCAGACUAUAAAACAUCUCGCUUAAAUGAUUAGGGUUAUCGUCAAUAUCCGCCUCGAUGCUUUUGUAUAUUUGUAUAGAUAAAGCCAUGUUUGUCCAGUUAUAGAAAUGACAUGCUUUUGAUCGCCGAAUUUAACAGCGUCACCUGUUUUGGAAAUCCGAAAUCAACUUUCAGUCGCUACCGUCUAUUUCUCUUUCAUCGGUGUGCUGUUAUGCUCCAUUUCUGGUUGUUUGUCGCUGCCGACGCGUCUUGUUACCGAACAGAGCUUAUAUCUAAACAAAACACAUAUUUUCUCUAAUAUUUUUAAAAAAUAAUCAACCAAAAAUAUAUUUGUCAUUUUAAAGGGCGGAUCAAAGUCUAGUAAAAUAUUAAAACCCCCGACGAAGAUAAGACAGACGUAUUAUGUAUCUUCUGUCUGAAAAAAGGCACAUCUUACCGGUCGAUCAAACCGUUUCAGGUUUACGAUUAAUCACUCAAAAAAAGGAAAUUUUGAUUAACCUAAUUAUUUCGUCACAGCUCUCUUUUAAAAAUCAUAAGUAGAUGAAAAAUCCCCAGACAGAAAAAAGAAUAGGCGCUCUCAUCGAUUUCACGAACUGUGUCUCCUCUACAAAAUCGAAUACCAAGAGGAGGAGGAGAGAUACGAUUUGAAUUAUAUAUAUAUUUCUAAAAAUUGAGGGAAGGAUGAAGUGGCGCAACUGCUGGUGAACGAGAAAUUAGGGUUCUUCUGGUUCUCUCUCGGCGAUAACCGGAGCCUCUCGCUCUAAUCGGACUCAACUUGCUCUGAUUUUCGAGCAUUGGUUUAUAGGGUUCGAUCGUCUUUUCGGAAAGCUACAAACUUUUGAUUUUGGCCAGUGAAGUAGGUACACUAUUCUGCUGCUUGUCCCAGGUUAAGAACUGCUCCUUUAGAGAAUGGAAGCAGCAGCAGCAGUAGAUGAAGGCUUAGAAUUCAAGUGGGGGAAACAGAAGGGAAUUGGUGGGAAAAAGAAAGACGUCAGAUUCUACGAGUCUUUCACCUUUGACGGUGAUGAAUACCGUCUUUAUGACUGCGUCUUAGUCGCCGAUCCCAGUGAACCGGACUCUGAUGAACUCUUUGUUGGCAAGAUCAUUAAAAUAUGGGAACACACUAAUAAGCGUGCAAAGCACCCAAGGCAAGUCAAGCUUCUCUGGCUCUUUAAACCUUCUGAGAUGCCGCCUGGUGUAGUUGAAGGAGUCCCGGAGUUGCUUGAAAACGAACUGUUUUUGGCUUCGGGUGAAGGUCCAGGCCUCGCUAGUGUCAACCCAUUGGAAGCAAUUUGUGGGAAGUGCUCUGUUCUGUGCCUUUCAAAGGACGAAAGGAAUCUACAACCAACAGAUGAGGAAAUCAAGUCAACAGACUUUGUAUUUCGCAGAGCAUUUGAUGUUGGAAGCUGUAAAGUCUUGGAUACAAUAGAUGAUAAAAUCUCUGGAGUUGACGUUAAAUUCAUCUUUAACAGAGCGGGUAGUACUAGUAAGAAAGAAGCAACUCCUCCUGUACUGAAAAUUCAAUUAGACGUAAAUGGAAGUGCAGAUAGUUUGACACCAAACGGUCUUUCAGCUUGUGGUUCGGUUCGGAGUACUGAAGAUAACUCUAAUGAAGCUUCUGACUGUAGAGAAAGCAGUUCUGGUCGCAGAGAAGGGAAAGAAAAAUUUGCAGAUGAAAGUUCUAACAAGGAUUCUAGUGUGCAGCAAAGCACUAGUGAACAUGCCUCCAGUGAAGCUUCUGGCUCUAGGGGAGAUCAUUAUGACGGCAAAGCUCAAGAUAAUGAAGUUAGGAAACAAUUUACUAAACAAAAAUCUAUGCCUGCAGAAGAAAGAGAUAGCAACAGUUGUGAAGCUUCUGGCUCUAAGAAACUAUUUACUAAACAAAACUCUAUGCCCGCUGGAGAGAGAGAUAGCAAUGGAUUGGAUGAGAGGCCUCAAAAGAAACAGAAACUAGAUGGUUCUGCUAUAGUAUCAAAUGGACGCAAUACAAACAUUUUGCAGCAGAGCGUUAGUUCUGAUGGUAAAAGAGAUACAUGUCUUUUUAAGAGACCUAGAGAGAAAGUGACAGGAGGGGAAAGCCCUCCAGAGAAUCUCAAGAAGAAGCGAGAUCUUGGGGUGUCAGUUUCUGAAGGAAAAGAUGCAAAAACUGGAACUGGGAAAGGUUUAUUCAAGAAACCAAGCUUUGAUGGUAAGCUAUCAAAACGCUCUGAGGAGAAGAUAGUGGAAAUUGAUUACAGAAGAGAUUAUCAAGUAACUGAAGUGACCCCAAAGCCGGAUGCUUCUCAGGUAAACAGCAAAUGGUUUCGACCUCUUCCUUGGGAAGAAAGUAUGAGGGAGGCAGAGAAGGAAGAGAAACUGGUUCUCCUUCAAAACUUGGAUCCUACUUAUACAUCUGAGGAAGUCCAGGAUAUAGUCUAUUCUGCUUUGAAUGAGCAAUGUACAGCGAGGAUGAUAGAGCGUACAUCUGUCUCUUUUUCUCAUAUUGGUGAAGCUUUGGUCAUAUUCAAUUCAAGACAAGCUGCAGUAAGAGCGAUAAGGAGACUUGAUGAAGGAUGCUUGUUGCUAUCUAAUGGAAGGCCUCUUGUUGCUGCGUUCGCAAAGAUUAAUCCUCCUGGGAAGCCGUCAUCACCGUUCUGCGGCCAUAUCAAACUACAGAAAACUCAACCGCGACGAGAGACGAGAGAUACAGUGUCUACAUCGCGUGGUUCUCAGCCGAACACCCUUGAAUUUGAAAUGGGAAUGGAGUGGCGGUUGCUCCGAGCCAGAUCUGACCAUGCCCUUGAAACGGUGUCUAAGCGGCAAUUGGAGGAGAGAAAGACGCAGCGGAUUAACUUCAAGCCUAAACUCCCUUAGCUUCAUACAAUGAUCUUGUGUUUUCUCAAGACAGUGACUAGAGAAUCUUACUAUGAUACUAGGAAGAAUGUGUCUUCUUACCAUCGAAUCCACCAACUUGAUACAUGCUGAUGCGGCUUCUUUUCUCAAUCUGACUACCCCUUGGGUAUAGUUUAAGGGAGUUACUUUGAGUUGUAAAAUUCAGAUUUUUUGGGACUGGUAGGUUUUUCACAAAUUCCAUGUAAGAUUACUCGUGAUUAGUUAACUUAUUUCAUUUGACUAACUUUAUUUU